rnacentral:rRNA from 1 species
CCUACGGGAGGCAGCAGUGGGGAAUAUUGCACAAUGGGGGAAACCCUGAUGCAGCAACGCCGCGUGAAGGAAGACGGUUUUCGGAUUGUAAACUUCUGUUUUUAGUGAAGUAUAAUGACGGUAGCUAACGAGCAAGCCACGGCUAACUACGUGCCAGCAGCCGCGGUAAUACGUAGGUGGCAAGCGUUGUCCGGAAUUACUGGGUGUAAGGGGAGCGCAGGCGGGAAGCCAAGUCAGCUGUGAAAGCUACGGGCUUAACUUGUAGACUGCAGUUGAAACUGGUUUUCUUGAGUGAAGUAGAGGUUGGCGGAAUUCCGGGUGUAGCGGUGAAAUGCGUAGAUAUUCGGAGGAACACCGGUGGCGAAGGCGGCCAACUGGGCUUUAACUGACGCUGAGGCUCGAAAGUGUGGGGAGCAAACAGGAUUAGAUACCCGAGUAGUC